UCUAACUAUGAAAUCGCUCGCCAUCUCUCCAUACAGGCACGAACCAGACCUCCCCGUCUAUCUCAUGUGUUACGAUCGGAGACGAAGUAAACAACAACAACAAGAACAAUCGUCGAGAAAAACCCACACGUUUCGUUUUAUGGGGGGUCCAAUACGGUGUCCUUCUGUCCGUCAGUCUUUCCCCUCCGCGUGAUCUCUCUGCUGCGGGCACGAUUGCUUGAAAACCAAUGAAUAAGAUGCAGCCCAGUGCUUCCAGAGAGGUACUUGGUGGUGAGCAAGAGGAGAGCACUGUAAGGGGGACUCUUCCUCGACGUGGAAAGAGUCGCGCCACCAUGUGGGAGAAGAUGACGUGGUUCACGCGCCGCUCGCGCCGCGAAUCCAGCGAGACGGCUGCGGCGGCG